rnacentral:rRNA from 1 species
GAUGAACGCUGGCGGCGUGCCUAAUACAUGCAAGUCGAGCGAACGGACGAGAAGCUUGCUUCUCUGAUGUUAGCGGCGGAAGGGUGAGUAACACGUGGAUAACCUACCUAUAAGACUGGGAUAACUUCGGGAAACCGGAGCUAAUAACGGAUAAUAUUUUGAACAGAAUGGUUAAAAAGUGAAAGACGGUCUUGCUGUCACUUAUAGAUGGAUCCGCGCUGCAUUAGCUAGUUGGUAAGGUAACGGCCUACCAAGGCAGCGAAUCAUAGCCGAGCUGAGAGGGUUGUCGGCCCGACUGGAACUGAGACGCGUUGCGGAUUCCAACGGAGCUCAUGGUUAGGCUGACUACGUGGAUAGUCGAAUGCCUUACGUGGUACUGCCGCGAGAAUGAUGAAGGUCUCCGAAUCGUAGUAAUCUGUUACAAGGUAUGAACAUCUGUAUAAGUAACUGUGCACAUCUUGACGGAACCUAAUCAGAAGCCCACGGCUAACUUCGUA